rnacentral:rRNA from 1 species
AUUGAACGCUGGCGGCAUGCCUUACACAUGCAAGUCGAACGGUAACGCGGGGAAACCUGGCGACGAGGGGCGAACGGGGGAGUAAUGCAUCGGUACGUGCACAUGCGUGGGGGAUAGCCCGGCGAAAGCCGGAUUGAUACCGCAUACGACUUACGGGUGAAAGGGGGGGAGCGGGAGACCUCUCGCUAUUGGAGCGUGCGAUGUCAGAUUAGGUAGAGGGUGGGGUGAAGGCCCACGAAGCCGACGAUCUGUAGCUGGUCUGAGAGGAUGACCAGCCACACUGGGACUGAGACACGGCCCAGACUCCUACGGGAGGCAGCAGUGGGGAAUAUUGGACAAUGGGCGAAAGCCUGAUCCAGCCAUGCCGCGUGCGUGAAGAAGGCCUUCGGGUUGUAAACCGCUUUUGGCAGGGAAGAAACGCACAGGGCUAAUACCCUGGUGGAAUGACGGUACCCGCAGAAUAAGCACCGGCUAACUACGUGCCAGCCGCCGCAGUAAAAC